rnacentral:rRNA from 1 species
GAUCCUGGCUCAGGAUGAACGCUGGCGGCGCGCCUAACACAUGCAAGUCGAACGGCACCUGCCCUCGGGCAGAAGCGAGUGGCGAACGGCUGAGUAACACGUGGAGAACCUGCCCCCUCCCCGGGAUAGCCGCCCGAAAGGACGGGUAAUACCGGAUACCCCGGGGUGCCGCAUGGCGCCCCGGCUAAAGCCCCGACGGGAGGGGAUGGCUCCGCGGCCCAUCAGGUAGACGGCGGGGUGACGGCCCACCGUGCCGACAACGGGUAGCCGGGUUG